UUGGUUAAGUUAGAAAGGGCGCACGGUGGAUGCCUUGGCACUAGGAGCCGAAGAAGGACGGGACUAACACCGAUAUGCUUUGGGGAGCUGUACGUAAGCGUUGAUCCAGAGAUUUCCGAAUGGGGGAACCCACUAUCUUUAGUCGGAUAGUAUCCUUACGUGAAUACAUAGCGUGAGGAAGGCAGACCCAGGGAACUGAAACAUCUAAGUACCUGGAGGAAGAGAAAGAAAAAUCGAUUUCCUGAGUAGCGGCGAGCGAAACGGAAAGAGCCCAAACCAAGAAGCUUGCUUCUUGGGGUUGUAGGACACUCUAUACGGAGUUACAAAAGAAAGUUAUAAAUGAAGCGGUCUGGAAAGGCCCGCCAAAGACGGUAACAGCCCGGUAGUUGAAAUGGCUUUCCCUCCAGAGUGGAUCCUGAGUACGGCGGAACACGUGAAAUUCCGUCGGAAUCCGGGAGGACCAUCUCCCAAGGCUAAAUACUCCCUAGUGACCGAUAGUGAACCAGUACCGUGAGGGAAAGGUGAAAAGCACCCCGGAAGGGGAGUGAAACAGUUCCUGAAACCGUGUGCCUACAAGUAGUUAGAGCCCGUUAAUGGGUGAUAGCGUGCCUUUUGUAGAAUGAACCGGCGAGUUACGAUUUGUUGCAAGGUUAAGCGGAAAAAGCGGAGCCGUAGCGAAAGCGAGUCUGAAUAGGGCGCAUAAGUAACAGGUCGUAGACCCGAAACCAGGUGAUCUACCCAUGUCCAGGAUGAAGGUAAGGUAAUACUUACUGGAGGUCCGAACCCACGCACGUUGAAAAGUGCGGGGAUGAGGUGUGGGUAGCGGAGAAAUUCCAAUCGAACUUGGAGAUAGCUGGUUCUCUCCG
rnacentral:rRNA from 1 species